UACCGGUGUAGCGUGAUUAUCACACGGUCGUGACCAGGCAAAUAUCUGUUAUCGGUGUAAUUACACCUUUGGAGAAAAGCGUAAUUCGCACGUUUUAAUUUCAUCAUUCGCCGCCUGAAGAGACAAGAUGGCGGAGCUUGCGAAAUCGAAAAUUGGUACUUGAAAGUCAAUGGUUGAUCAUGAUGACCAUCUUUAAUUUAAUGGGGAAAGAUUAACCAAUAUUUGCAGCUGGAGAGGCUAUCACCACAGUUCAAUGAUUUAGUUAAGACAAUGAAAUAGAAGAACUUCAUGCUAACACUUGCAUCAGUGGAAGUACUUCUUAUUGGAUAGAGAACUUUACAAGGUCAGCCAUCAGCUUUUGAAGUUGCUUUCUUGGCACAUCAUGCUGUCCAGUGGAGUUCAUACCAUAUGCCAGGCCUUUAUACAUGGUCAAAGAAGAUGAAUUUGUUAUUCAAUUUGUGAAAUUUGAUUUAAGGAGGACUUUCAUAUAUGAUGAUUAUAUUCAGCGGAUUAUCUUCAAGUGUGCACUUCAUAGAAUCACAGUUUCUAGGAGGUUUUCAGUUUAAAGUUAGAUUGAUUGAAAAAUAAGUAAACCUAUCAUACUCGCCAUGGCAUCGGCAUUGGCAUUACACCAGUUUUAAGUUUUUCUUACCAGUCCAUAUUUUAAAAGGACCUUUUGAAAGUAUUGAAACUUACAACAGUAAUUUAUCAUCAUUAUACCAUGUUUUAGGCAAAAGUACAUAACUCCAUCAAGGAUUUGACUGAAACUAUGGCCCUUUGAAACUUUUGUCACUUGUUUAUAAUAAUAGUCUCUAUAGGCAAGAGUUAAUAACAUGUAGAGUAAUUUGGUUGAAUUAUGUCCCUUUUGGACUUUGAAAUUGGUUCAGUUUUUGUACAAGUUCACAUUUUGACAUAUAGCUUUGAAUCUUUCAACACUAAGUCUUACCAUUACAAUAAUAUAACUUAAAAUAGUUGUUCAACAUCAUCACCCACAUCAUAUGACACAAGAUGCAUAACUCUUGCACCAAAAUUUAAUAAAUUAUGCCCUUUUUUGCUUAAAAUGUACUUGUAUAGUGUUUUGAUACACUUUAUCUUUUAUCUCUCAUAUUACAUAAUUAUUUUAAAACAGACUUAGUUAUUAUGCAAUAUCUUCAUCAGCCAUUG